UUGAACGCUGGCGGCAGGCCUAACACAUGCAAGUCGAACGGUAACAGGAAGAAGCUUGCUUCUUUGCUGACGAGUGGCGGACGGGUGAGUAAUGUCUGGGAAACUGCCUGAUGGAGGGGGAUAACUACUGGAAACGGUAGCUAAUACCGCAUAACGUCGCAAGACCAAAGAGGGGGACCUUCGGGCCUCUUGCCAUCGGAUGUGCCCAGAUGGGAUUAGCUUGUUGGUGGGGUAACGGCUCACCAAGGCGACGAUCCCUAGCUGGUCUGAGAGGAUGACCAGCCACACUGGAACUGAGACACGGUCCAGACUCCUACGGGAGGCAGCAGUGGGGAAUAUUGCACAAUGGGCGCAAGCCUGAUGCAGCCAUGCCGCGUGUAUGAAGAAGGCCUUCGGGUUGUAAAGUACUUUCAGCGGGGAGGAAGGGAGUAAAGUUAAUACCUUUGCUCAUUGACGUUACCCGCAGAAGAAGCACCGGCUAACUCCGUGCCAGCAGCCGCGGUAAUACGGAGGGUCAAGCGUUAAUCGGAAUUACUGGGCGUAAAGCGCACCAGGCGGUUUGUUAAGUCAGAUGUGAAAUCCCCGGGCUCAACCUGGGAACUGCAUCUGAUACUGCAAGCUUGAGUCUCGUAGAGGGGGGUAGAAUUCCAGGUGUAGCGGUGAAAUGCGUAGAGAUCUGGAGGAAUACCCGGUGGCGAAGGCGGCCCCCUGACGAAGA
rnacentral:rRNA from 1 species